rnacentral:misc_RNA from 1 species
GACGGAGGGCGCAAGCGUUGUUCGGAAUUACUGGGCGUAAAGCGCGGGCAGGCGGCCUGUUAAGUCUCCUGUGAAACUCCGGGGCUCAACUCCGGAAUUGCAGAAGAUACUGGCAGGCUAGAGAACGGUAGAGGCGAGUGGAAUUCCUGGUGUAGCGGUGGAAUGCGUAGAUAUCAGGAAGAACACCUGUGGCGAAGGCGACUCGCUGGGCCGUUUCUGACGCUCAUCCGCGAAAGCGUGGGGAGCAAACAGG